rnacentral:rRNA from 1 species
UCGUCUUUUGUUUAAACAAAUAUAAAAGAUAAUGCCUGCCCAGUGAAUACUUACAUUUCAACGGCCGCGUUAGCGUGAGCGUGCUAAGGUAGCGUAAUAAAUAGCCUUUUAAUUGAAGGCCAGUGAAUGGCAAGACUAGGAAUAGCUCUAUCAGAUAUGUUUCCAAAAAUUUUUCAUUUGAGUGAAAAGACUCAAAUAUUCAAGGAAGACGAAAAGACCCCGCGGAGCUUCACUAAACAAAACUUAUAAAUAAAUUAUAAUUUUUUAAAAGUUUGAUUGGGGCAAUCUUGGAACAAUAAUAACUUCCAAUUAUUAUAACAUAACUAUAUAAAGUUUAUUAAGAACAAAAAAGCAGCUACCCCGGGGAUAACAGCGUUAUCUAACUUGAGAGUACAUAUCGAAAGUUGGGUUUGCGACCUCGAUGUUGGCUUAAGGGUAUCCACAUUAGUGCAGCCGCUAUGAAAGGAUAGUCUGUUCGACUAUUGCACCCUUA